AGCAAGGAGGCAAGUGGCUCAUCUGUCAGUUCUAACCAUGAGGAACUGGUGUGCGCCUACCACGCCCACAGCCACACCAAUGGAGGGCCAACGACACUCAAGUCUGGCCAGUGUGUGGUGACAAGUAGUGAGGUCACCACUGAAUCUGACACACCUGCUGAGCCUGACCUGGUGUCUUUCUGUGCUGCCCUGGGCAACAACUGAGCCCUGUGAGUCCCUGCCCUCUUCAAGCCAGACGGGGACUACCAGACUGUGGCUGACAUGGUGGGUGGCGGUCGCUCCAGGACAGAGUCAACCACCAGUCACGAGGAAAGUUUGGACGAGGCCAGAAGUGCGUCAUCCCACCACAGGUCACGGGGACAGGAACUGUUGGCCAGGCAGGGUCACCGUCCCUCCCACGGCGACCCGGAUUAUAGCUACGCUCACCCUGUGAAGAAGCAGUGCCUUCCCCCACCCCUCCACUGUCCUCCACUGACAGCAACAGGUGUAUGAGUUAGUGAUAGUGAGGUCACUGACAGACAGACUCGCCAAAUUGUUCAUUAGUAAAAGUUCCGUGGCCACUAAGUUUGUAAUUUGCCUCUGUGUCUAUUUUUCCAGCCUUUUUAUUCAUUGAUGUACACUUUUGCCUUUCACUGCUUCCUCCUUUAAUCCAUUCUAUAUCUUUAUAUAUUUACAUGGAAAGAUAUGUUUGCAUUAUUUGAACAUUCUCUCUCUCUCUCUCUCUCUCUCUCUCUCUCUCUCUCUCUCUCUCUCUCUCUCUCUCUCUCUAAUAUUGAGGUUCAUCUCUUGUCCAUAACAAAAGGGCAUUUCUGUCUGGUUCCUCAGGUUGGUUGACUAACCCUAAAGCUGCAGGGGUUUUCACACAUUUCUCCAUUUCAUAUGUCACUACUCCUAUGUGGAAAGAUGUGUGUUAUUUAGGAAGCUCUCUUCUAUCCGAGUUUCUUUUAAUCUUUAUCAUCAUGUGUCAAGUC